GGGCCUGUGGUGUAACGGUAACACAUUGAGGUCAAGGGCCUCAAAGCUCCCGCGUUCGAUUCCGGGCGGGUCCA